AUGAAGCUGCCAGCAUGAUCUGAAACCAUACGUGUUCUUUGAUUCCCAUCUGAAGAAAGAGUUGGCUUUCAUGGAGAACCGACGGUCAGAUCAUGUGGCAGUUUCAUUU